CGCUUGUUUGAUAUUGCGCUAGAAAAUCUUGUCGCCAUUUUUCGGGCGCUUGCGCGUUUAGUUCUGAUUUUGUUAUGCCUUCUUCCGUUUCGCGUCAAGUAAUAUUUUUAUGAUUUAUAUUAUUGCAAAUGUUUAUGUACGACUUAAGCCGAUUAAUUUUGUUACCGAAGCGAUAUAUUUGUAGUUCAUGAUACUUAACAUCGUGCAAGAUAAAAUAUUAUACAUUACUUCAGGAAUCGAUUUAUAGGUACAGUAUCGAACAUUUGAAAACUUCGCUACAACGAAACUAUAUUUUUUAACAUCAUUAUCUGUUUCAAACUUUUAAACACAACAAUUUCGUCUUUUAUUAUAUUUCAAACGAAAAGAUUUUCAACGCUAUUGACUGAGUCAACUACCUGACUAUGUUUUACUGUUUGUAUUGACAGUGGCGAUGACUUUUUGCUAUAAAGUAGUAAAUGGCUUUGGUGGCAAGCUACCAUUUAAGGUUACGUUUCCAUACAUGGUGGCGCCUCGCGUACCUGUAUUCAUAUAGCGCACAAGCGUUCAGGUCGAGUGAUAAAACUGCAAGCUGACUCACUUACUCAAGCACAAGUUUUAUACAUUGGACAAAUAACGCUACAAGUUAACUAAGUUUGCAUGCAUCGGUAAGCCCGAUUUUUUUAUUGUCGAAUCCAUAUGACAACAAAUUUGAAAGAUGAAAUUCUAGUUUUAUUGAAAGAAGAUAAUGAGCAGAAAUAUCGUAAGGUUUUGCUACACAAAAAUCUCACUUGAAUGUAUUAAAAAAUAAUGGGACAACAAUGAAAAUAACAUGAUGACGUAACAGCUUAGUAGUUCAUUAACACUUUGUCGUGGAUGCAUGUAAAAAGAUCAGGAAGAAGAAACGACUCUCGUGCGACAUGCAAAGCGCGAGCAUUUACUUUGCCAGGGCCUCGUAGCGGUUCACUAUUCCGAGAUUGACCUUUCGUAUGCACAAAUGCCUCCAAAACGUACAAUAGAUCUUCCUGUUGGCCGACUGUUGACUCACAAGUUGACGCAUCCAUAUAUCGCACAAUAAUAUCAAUAGCCAAUGUUAAAGUGUUUACAAACUUAAAAUUCUUUAUUAAUAUAGUUAAAAUACAAUACAAA